CUUGCUACUAUUUUGCCAAGUUAUAUGGGUAAGAAAGAGUAUGUACCCUUUGCAUUGGCAAACGGAAACUUAGCUGUUCAUGUUGGUGUGCUGCAGAAGGGAUUACAUCAGAUCUUUUUGCUACUGAUUGAAGUUGCAAAACUUUCUUUUGGAAGGCAAAGGCAUGUGCUUCGGUUGUAAAAGUACGUACUGUAUCACAUAGUAGGUGGUUUCUGGGUGCUGAACCAGAAGAACUACAUUUGUAUAUAUGGGCUCCUGGGUUGUGUCAGCUCAGCCUUCCUUCAAACCAUAUGACACCCAACCCAAAUGCAGCCUGCACUGCAGGUAGGUAAAAUGUCUACCUGUAGUUUGUUCUGUAUUUCUUUUUUGUACUAUAUCACUGUUAGGACAAAUGUUUGGAU
rnacentral:sRNA from 1 species